rnacentral:rRNA from 1 species
UACAGAGGUCUCAAGCGUUGUUCGGAUUCAUUGGGCGUAAAGGGUGCGUAGGCGGCGCGGUAAGUCGGGUGUGAAAUCUUGGAGCUUAACUCCGAAACUGCAUUCGAUACUGCCGUGCUUGAGGACUGGAGAGGAGACUGGAAUUUACGGUGUAGCGGUGAAAUGCGUAGAUAUCGGGAGGAACACCCGUGGCGAAAGCGGCGCACUGGACCACAACUGACGCUGAGGCGCGAAAGCUAGGGGAGCAAACAGG